GGGGAACCGCCAUUUAGCCUAUGACACUAGUGUAGCUGGAGAGGAGUGAGCCAGACAGAGGCUGAAAGGAACAAGGUUGGAGAGUGUGACAGUAUCUGGAGAUACUCUUGUGCAGAAGGCAGGCUUCUGGCCCUGACCGGAUGGCAAAAAUGACCCCUGCAGCAACCUGUUCCCCAGCUGCCUGGUUCUCACCACCCUAGUAGCUUUCUGGAAUUCUGCCUUUUCCUUGCUGCCUUCCUGGAUUGAUUGGAGGUGUCCAGGUCAGAGAAAUGCAGUGGAGUCCUCAGGCAGGGACAGGAUGGGACCUGCUCUCCUGGAAUCAACUGGGUUUGCUGGAAAGAGGGACAGAGAACAGCCUAUUUUUUCCUCCCAUGGGACAGAGUGAUUCUGGCAUCCAGUACAGGUACUUAUGGUUAAUUUUUUAUGCGAUGAAUAGGCAACAUAGCAGGACUGAUCAGGCUGCAACCAUCCAGACGGCAAAAGAAUAAAAAGACAAAUGCUAAAGAAAUGUAAGACGGUGACCCUCCACAUAACUCACUUCUGGGAGUCAUUUGUUGCCUCUUUAUUUGUAUGUUUCCCC
rnacentral:lncRNA from 1 species